rnacentral:lncRNA from 1 species
UUUUUUUUUUUUUUUUGAGUAAACUUUAAAUGUCAUCUCAGUAUUUUUGCAUUUUUUUACUUUAGUAUUUUAUUAUUUAAAAUAUAUAAAUUUAGUACACUGUAAUUUUAUUUUUUUCUUUUUAUUAGUUCCGUAGGUAAAUUUUCAUUAAAUUAUAUACAAAAAAUUUCAUAUGCUCAAUCUAUAGUUUAUCAAAUAUUUACUUUAAUACCCUUUAAUUUUAACUUUAUCACUGAUUUAAUAAAAAAAUUAGUGGAGGAGAUAACAAAAAGAGAAAAAUAAAAUCACAGGAUAGGUAGUCAAUAAUUAUAUUAUUUCAACAAUUUUAUUUAAAAAUGAAUCAAAUUUAAUAGUUUUAAAAAUUGUUCUAUAAAUAACUUUUUUAGCUAAAAAAUUAAAAAUAUAAAUGCAUCACUUAGCUCUACAGAUUUAAUUAGUAUAUUUUAUACGAUCUCAAAAUUAAAUUUCAUAAAAUAUAAAAUUAACUUAAACUCCAUCAAUAUUUCUUUUUCUUUUUAAUCUAUAAUCUAUAUCUAAAUGCCAAAUAUUAUAAAAUAAACAUUUAUAUUUAAUACAAAUAGUUUAAACUAUUAAAAAAUUAUUUAUAUAUUUUAAAUUUUUAUAAUAAUAAAUAAAAAAUAAAAUUGGACUUAAAAAAGAUUUUAAAUUUUUUCUCC